CCAGGUGCAAAGUGGGAAGUGUGAGUCCUCAGUCUUGGGCUAUUCGGCCACGUGCCUGCCGGACAUGGGACGCUGGAGGGUCAGCAGCGUGGAGUCCUGGCCUUUUGCGUCCACGGGUGGGAAAUUGGCCAUUGCCACGGCGGGAACUGGGACUCAGGCUGCCCCCCGGCCGUUUCUCAUCCGUCCACCGGACUCGUGGGCGCUCGCACUGGCGCUGAUGUAGUUUCCUGACCUCUGACCCGUAUUGUCUCCAGAUUAAAGGUACGACAUUUGGAGGCCCCAGCGAGAAACGUCACCGGGAGAAACGUCACCGGGCGAGAGCCGGGCCCGCUGUGUGCUCCCCCGGAAGGACAGCCAGCUUGUAGGGGGGAGUGCCACCUGAAAAAAAAAUUUCCAGGUCCCCAAAGGGUGACCGUCUUCCGGAGGACAGCGGAUCGACUACCAUGUGGGUGCCCACAAAAAUUCCACCUCUGAGUCCUCAACUGCUGACCCCGGGGUCAGGUCCAGAUUUUGAACAAAUCUCGCUAGAGAUUGAACAGAGCUGCGCCUGGAUCCCGCCACAGUGAGGAGACCUGAAGACCAGAGAAAACACAGCAAGCCCCUGGAUCCUCCUGGAAUCCCCGAUCCCUCUUGCUCCCUGGCAGAGUUUUCUAGUCCCUCUUACUUGAAGCAUGUCUUUCAGAGCCCGGCACCACCCAUCUUGAGUAUCUGGUGGAUUUUCACAUCUCAAGCCAGCUAAGAGUAUGGGAAAUAGGACUCGUUAAAGCACAGAUAUCACACAAGUGAUUCAGAUUCACGAGGGUAAUCCAGAUGAAGGUAUAUCAUUGUACCUGGCCCGCAUCACUCAGUAACUGUCACCUUUGAUUUAUUGAUUUACUUGAGAUGGAGUUUGGUUCUGUCCCCGAGGCCGGAGUGCAAUGGCGUGAUCUCUGCUCACUACAACCUCUGCCUCCCAGGUUCAGAGUGAUUCUCCUGCCUCAGCCUCUUUAGCUGGGAUUACAGGCACCCACCAACAUGCCCAGCUAAUUUUUGUAUUUUUAGUAGAGAGGAGCUUUCACCAUAAUGGCCAGGCUGGUCUUGAACCUCAAAUGAUCUGCCCACCUUGGCCUCCCAAAGUGCUAGGAUUACAGGCUGGAGCUACAGAGCCCAGCCUGUCACCUUGAUUUAAAUGAAUGCAGCUUUCUUGGUGUCUUGAUGUUUGUGAAUUUCUGUGGAGUUUGAUACUGCUCCUUUUGCUGCUUGUUUUUCCAGAGUCCCCUUAUCACUUGACGUGCUGUUAUAUUAUGUUUGAUUUAUUACAGAUACCCCAUCAGCCUGAGUCUCUUAAAGGCCUUUAUACACAUAUGUCUACACAUAGGGAUUUGGAUGAUCUCGGGAUCCCACAUCCUCGCUGUCCCCUGUCCCCCCGCAACAUCCCCCACCAAUACCUUUCUGAAGUUUUCUAGUCCCUCCUUUUUGUUUGUGCUCCUUAAAGCCCAGCCCCAUGCCUGACUUUGGUUCCCAGUGAGCAUUGUACAUUUGUGGAUAUUAAAUCUUUGGCAAAGUCAUUUACCUGGGCUGGAAUAGGGCUCUUGGCUGAUUCUUUUUCCUAAACACCCACCCAAUGGGAGAGGCUGAUACUCAACAUGCAAACCUUGUGUUUUAUUUCUCCAGGCGAAGGGAUGUUGGAAGACAUUCUGGAAGGGGUGGGGUGUGAAGAUUUACAAAUAAUCUUUGAAUAUCUGCUUCAUGAUAGGUCUUGGAGGUGCCUUGUGGGUGUGGCUUUGGGGGGAUGGUUACGAGGAAAUUGUGGAUAUUAAGGAAGUCAGGAAAGGAAAAGAUCAGUCACAAUUCAACAAUUCAGAGAAAGCUCCUAAGGGACUUUCUGGCUGCUUGAUGCCCAGAGGCCAGGCCCUCACUUCGUAUUAAGGCUCAGGACUGUGGAUAGAGAAUUUAAAGGGGCACCAAAAAAAACAUUAAAAUAGAUAAACAUAUUUUUAAUGGAAUACCUUUAAAAAUGCAAAUCAAUGCACAAAGAAAACGCCCAUGUUGAACAAAA
rnacentral:lncRNA from 1 species